GACGAACGCUGGCGGCGUGCUUAACACAUGCAAGUCGAACGGAAAGGCCCUGCUUUUGUGGGGUGCUCGAGUGGCGAACGGGUGAGUAACACGUGAGUAACCUGCCCUUGACUUUGGGAUAACUUCAGGAAACUGGGGCUAAUACCGGAUAGGAGCUCCUGCUGCAUGGUGGGGGUUGGAAAGUUUCGGCGGUUGGGGAUGGACUCGCGGCUUAUCAGCUUGUUGGUGGGGUAGUGGCUUACCAAGGCUUUGACGGGUAGCCGGCCUGAGAGGGUGACCGGCCACAUUGGGACUGAGAUACGGCCCAGACUCCUACGGGAGGCAGCAGUGGGGAAUAUUGCACAAUGGGCGGAAGCCUGAUGCAGCAACGCCGCGUGCGGGAUGACGGCCUUCGGGUUGUAAACCGCUUUCGCCUGUGACGAAGCGUGAGUGACGGUGAUGGGUAAGGAAGCACCGGCUAACUACGUG
rnacentral:rRNA from 1 species